rnacentral:rRNA from 1 species
AGAGUUUGAUCCUGGCUCAGGAUGAACGCUGGCGGCGUGCCUAAUACAUGCAAGUCGAACGAGGUACCUUUAUAGCAAUAUAAGGGUAUCCUAGUGGCGAACGGGUGAGUAACGCGUGGGUGACCUGCCCCGAAGUGUGGGAUAACAGUCCGAAAGGACUGCUAAUACCGCAUGCGGCCAUCGGCUUUAGAAACCGAUGUCCAAAGCAGCAAUGCGCUUUGGGAGGGACCUGCGUCCCAUCAGCUAGUUGGUAGGGUAACGGCCUACCAAGGCGACGACGGGUAGGGGACCUGAGAGGGUGACCCCCCACAAUGGAACUGAAACACGGUCCAUACACCUACGGGUGGCAGCAGUAGGGAAUAUUGCACAAUGGGCGAAAGCCUGAUGCAGCAACGCCGCGUGCACGAUGAAGGUCUUCGGAUCGUAAAGUGCUUUUCUGGGAGAUGAGAAUGGACAGUAUCCCAGGAAUAAGUCUCGGCUAACUACGUGCCAGCAGCCGCGGUAAAACGUAGGAGGCGAGCGUUAUCCGGAUUCACUGGGCGUAAAGCGCGUGCAGGCGGUUCGGUUAGUUGGGCGUGAAAUCUCCUGGCUUAACUAGGAGAGGCCGUCCAAUACUGCCGGACUUGAGAACAGUAGAGGAAGAUGGAAUUCCCGGUGUAGUGGUGAAAUGCGUAGAUAUCGGGAGGAACACCAGUGGCGAAGGCGAUCUUCUGGACUGUUUCUGACGCUCAGACGCGAAAGCUAGGGUAGUAAACGGGAUUAGAGACCCCGGUAAUCCUAGCCGUAAACGAUGUGAACUUGGCGUCGGUGGCUUAAACACUAUCGGUGCCGUAGCUAACGCGAUAAGUUCACCGCCUGGGGACUACGAUUGCAAGAUUAAAACUCAAAGGAAUUGACGG